rnacentral:rRNA from 1 species
AUUGAACGCUGGCGGCAGGCCUAACACAUGCAAGUCGAGCGGAUGAAGGUAGCUUGCUAUCUGAUUCAGCGGCGGACGGGUGAGUAAUGCCUAGGAAUCUGCCUGGUAGUGGGGGACAACGUUUCGAAAGGAACGCUAAUACCGCAUACGUCCUACGGGAGUAAGUGGGGGAUCUUCGGACCUCACGCUAUCAGAUGAGCCUAGGUACGAUUAGCUAGUUGGUGAGGUAAAGGCUCACCAAGGCGACGAUCGUUAACUGGUCUGAGAGGAUGAUCAGUCACACUGGAACUGAGACACGGUCCAGACUCCUACGGGAGGCAGCAGUGGGGAAUAUUGGACAAUGGGCGAAAGCCUGAUCCAGCCAUGCCGCGUGUGUGAAGAAGGUCUUCGGAUUGCAAAGCACUUUAAGUUGGGAGGAAGGGCAGUAAGUUAAUACCUUGCUGUUUUGACGUUACCAGCAGAAUAAGCACCGGCUAACUUCGUGCCAGCCGCCGCGGUAAUAC